GCGGUUUGUAAGCGAUGAUCAGUUAAUCAGUUUGUCAGUGUGAGCCUGAUGGUGCGGUCGUGUUAGUAGAUAAUUUGUUUUACUAUUUUUUGUUUAUUAUGUGGAGCAAAAAUGCGGUGAACGCUACGAGAUUAAGUAGCGUUGUUAAUAAAAGAUGGAAAAGUCACAUUCAGGCAGCUGCUGGACAGAGCUAUCUAAAGCACCCGGGAACCGAACCGCUAAAACAGACGACCCUUGGCGAAGUGAUCGCCAAGUCUGUUAACAAAUACCCCGACAGGGUCGCCAUCAGAUCUGUGCAUGAAGAUGUGACUAUUACUUACGCAGAAUUGUUGAGACAGGCAGACUCUUUAGCAUGUGCUCUCCGCGCCCAGGGCUUGAAGAAAGGUGACCGGCUGGGCUUGUGGUCGCACAACUGUUCCUCAUGGCUGGUCGCCCUGGUGGCCGCUUCCAGAGCUGGAUUGAUUUCUGUGUUACUGAACCCAAUUUACGAGAACCGAGAACUCAGUUUCUGUAUCAAAAAAACUGGAAUAAAAAGUUUAUUGAUAGGCGAUAAGACACAAAGGAAGAACUAUUACGAGUCACUCUCGCAAAUGAUACCAGAGCUGGAGAACAGCAAGCCGUUCUCUCUGCAGUCCAGUGAGUUCCCCACUUUGAACUCUGUCAUCAGCAUCGGGAAGGACCAUCUCGCGGGAACAACUUCCUUCAAUUCACUAGUAGCGGGCUCAGGCAGUCAGAUCUCUCGAUACACCUUUGAAAACAAGCCGAGUGAUGGCACCCUUAUUCUUCUGACUUCGGGAACCACAGGGGACCCCAAAGCAGCUCUGAAUUCCCAUCUCGGAGUAGUGAACAACACAUACUUUAUAGGAAAAAGGAAUAUUCUAGACCAGGCUCACCAAACCGUCCUCGUGCAGGCGCCGUUCUUCCAUGCUCUAGGUUGUAUAGUAACAAGCCUGAGUGGUCUACAGCACGGCAGCACUCUGGUUUUGCCAGCUCCCUUCUACAAUGUUAACGACAACCUCAACGCUUUGUUAGCGGAGAAAUGCACAAUAGUGACGGGCACACCAACCAUGUACGUGGACAUGUUAGCUCGACUCAAGUCUCUCGGCGCCACACCCUCAGGUCUGCGCGUGGCGAUGGCGGCCGGAGCGCCUUGCAGUCCACAGCUCAUUAGAGACAUGCAGACGGAGCUGAAGGCUGAGGCUGUUACGUGUCUCUACGGGCUGUCAGAAACAGUGGCGUGUAACUUCCAAAGUGUUCCGGGUGACAGCACUGAUGUGGUGGCGGAGACUGUUGGCUGUUUACAUGAUCAUAAUGAAGCUAAGGUAGUAGACGACAACGGUGAGAUGGUACCGUUUGGCAAACCUGGCGAGCUGCUGGUGAGAGGUUACAACAACAUGAUUGGCUACUGGGACGAGCCUAAGAAGACCAGUGAGACCAUUAACAAAGACGGCUGGUUGUAUACAGGAGAUAAGUUCACAAUAAGUGAGGACGGAUACGGCCGCGUGGUGGGCCGGUUGAAGGACAUUAUAGUUCGAGGAGGGGAGAACAUCGCGCCUAAAGAGAUAGAAGAUUGGUUAAACACACACCCGGAUAUUAAGGAUAGUCAGGUCGUUGGAGUAUCAGACGAGCGUCUAGGCGAAGACCUUUGCGCAGUACUCCGAGUAAAAGAAGGUGCCACAGUCACCAUAGAAGAUAUCAAAAAACAUUGCGAGGGUCGGUUGGCGCGGUUCAAGAUACCCAGACUCAUGAAGGUCAUUGACGAGUUCCCGAAAACGGCUUCGGGUAAAAUACAAAAACAUCGUAUUAAAGACCUCAUCGAAUCAGGCAAAUUGUAGGUUUAUGUAAAUAAGUAGAUUUUAGUCUUCUUGUAUUAUAAAUCGCUGAAUUAUUAUGUAAAUAUUAUUGUUUGUUUGUAAGGUUUUUUUUGUGGUUUUAUCAAAGACAAAAUCAUGUAAAUUAAGUAAUUAUUUGAAAAUGGAGCUCUGAGCCAGUUAAAGCUGACAGUUGCAUAAUUCAUAUAUUUUUGUAAAAUAUUAUAGAUAGUUCAACUCAGAUUUGCGCGCGGCCCUAUGUGUGCGUCGGCUUGUAAAUAUACAACUUUCAUUCGUGUGACAGUGACGUCGUCCGAGCAUGACGUGUUCUUAUCACUUUUUCUUAUGGGUACAGUCGUUUACGAAAAUACUAGUUAUUCGCGGAGAAAUUAUUAAGGAGUCAGAUAAAGCGUUUCAAAAAAUAAAACGACAUUCAAAGCUUUUUAUUAUUAAAUAUAGUUUUCCAUUAUUUUUUCAUACGUCUUUUCAAAUUGAGAUUGACAGUAUCUAAGAAUUGAAUACUCCUUAAGUACAUAUUUUCUAGUGGACAAUAAAUAAAAGUGUGGACUAAGAAUGUAAAAAGAGGUAUAAUCUAGUAUAAUAAUGUAAACAAAAUGUGUGGGGAAUUUUAAAAAGUUAUAUUGCUUCGCAUAAUGUCGACCAAAAUAACAAAAUAAUGAAACUCAUAAAUGAACUCAAAUUGAUGAAGGGAUGUGGCGUAAUACUUGUCGACAUGUAGAAAAGAAAAAAGAAGAAUACUAUAGACAUUUUGACAUUGGAGUCAGAAUUUAUAAUUCUCCUUGGAGAGUAGCGAAUCCGAAAAUUCAUCAUUUGAUUUUUCAAAUAGCGAUUCAUAGUCAUUAUAAAUAAAUAAACAUUAAAUUACGUAAUAA
rnacentral:misc_RNA from 1 species